CCCCUAGAUGUUCUGGGCCGCACGCGCGCUACACUGAACAGUUCAACAAGUCUUAACCUUGGCCGAUAGGUCUGGGUAAUCUUUGAACGCUGUUCGUGAUUGGGAUAGACCUUUGCAAUUAUGGGUCUUCAACGAGGAAUUCCUAGUAAACGCAAGUCAUCAGCUUGCAUUGAUUACGUCCCUGCCCUUUGUACACACCGCCCGUCGCACCUACCGAUUGAAUGGUCCGGUGAAAUCUCGGGACGGCGGCUUGGUCGCUUGCGUCCGACUGCUGAAACUUGAUUAAACCAUAUCAUUUAGAGGAAGGAAAAGUCGUAACA
rnacentral:rRNA from 1 species